ACGUAGGGGGCAAGCGUUGUCCGGAAUCAUUGGGCGUAAAGGGCGCGUAGGCGGAUAUUUAAGUCUGGUGUGAAAACCUAGGGCUCAACCCUGGGACUGCAUCGGAAACUGGGUAUCUUGAGGACAGGAGAGGAAAGUGGAAUUCCACGUGUAGCGGUGAAAUGCGUAGAUAUGUGGAGGAACACCAGUGGCGAAGGCGACUUUCUGGACUGUAACUGACGCUGAGGCGCGAAAGCGUGGGGAGCAAACA
rnacentral:rRNA from 1 species